GAUGAACGCUGGCGGCGUGCCUAAUACAUGCAAGUCGAGCGAACAGACGAGGAGCUUGCUCCUCUGACGUUAGCGGCGGACGGGUGAGUAACACGUGGAUAACCUACCUAUAAGACUGGGAUAACUUCGGGAAACCGGAGCUAAUACCGGAUAAUAUAUUGAACCGCAUGGUUCAAUAGUGAAAGACGGUUUUGCUGUUACUUAUAGAUGGAUCCGCGCCGCAUUAGCUAGUUGGUAAGGUAACGGCUUACCAAGGCAACGAUGCGUAGCCGACCUGCGAGGGUGAUCGGCCACACUAGAGCUGAGACACGGACAAGACUCCUACGGGAGGCAGCAGUAGGGAAUCUUCCGCAAUGGGCGAAAGCCUGACGGAGCAACGCCGCGUGAGUGAUGAAGGUCUUCGGAUCGUAAAACUCUGUUAUUAGGGAAGAACAAAUGUGUAAGUAACUAUGCACGUCUUGACGGUACCUAAUCAGAAAGCCACGGCUAACUACGUG
rnacentral:rRNA from 1 species